GACGAACGCUGGCGGCGUGCCUAAUACAUGCAAGUAGAACGCUGAAGCUUGGUGCUUGCACCGAGCGGAUGAGUUGCGAACGGGUGAGUAACGCGUAGGUAACCUGCCUGGUAGCGGGGGAUAACUAUUGGAAACGAUAGCUAAUACCGCAUAACAGUAGAUAUCGCAUGAUAGCUACUUGAAAGGUGCAAAUGCACCACUACCAGAUGGACCUGCGUUGUAUUAGCUAGUUGGUGAGGUAACGGCUCACCAAGGCAACGAUACAUAGCCGACCUGAGAGGGUGAUCGGCCACACUGGGACUGAGACACGGCCCAGACUCCUACGGGAGGCAGCAGUAGGGAAUCUUCGGCAAUAGACGGAAGUCUGACCGAGCAACGCCGCGUGAGUGAAGAAGGUUUUCGGAUCGUAAAGCUCUGUUGUAAGAGAAGAACGAGUGUGAGAGUGGAAAGUUCACACUGUGACGGUAUCUUACCAGAAAGGGACGGCUAACUACGUG
rnacentral:rRNA from 1 species